AUUGAACGCUGGCGGCAUGCUUUACACAUGCAAGUCGAACGGCAGCGCGGGCUUCGGCCUGGCGGCGAGUGGCGAACGGGUGAGUAAUGCAUCGGAACGUGCCCAGUAGUGGGGGAUAGCCCGGCGAAAGCCGGAUUAAUACCGCAUACGACCUGAGGGUGAAAGCGGGGGACCGAAAGGCCUCGCGCUAUUUGCGCGGCCGAAGUCGGAUUAGCUAGUUGGUGGGGUAAAGGCUUACCAAGGCGACGAUCCGUAGCUGGUCUGAGAGGACGACCAGCCACACUGGAACUGAGACACGGCCCAGACUCCUACGGGAGGCAGCAGUGGGGAAUUUUGGACAAUGGGGGCAACCCUGAUCCAGCCAUGCCGCGUGAGGGAAGAAGGCCUUCGGGUUGUAAACCGCUUUUGUUCGGGAAGAAAUCCUCUGGGCUAAUACCCCGGGGGGAUGACGGUACCGGAAGAAUAAGCACCGGCUAACUACGUG
rnacentral:rRNA from 1 species